UGGGGAAUAUUGCACAAUGGAGGGAACUCUGAUGCAGCAACGCCGCGUGCGGGAUGACGGCCUUCGGGUUGUAAACCGCUUUCAGCCAUGACGAAGCUUUUGUGACGGUAGUGGUAGAAGAAGCACCGGCUAACUACGUGCCAGCAGCCGCGGUGAUACGUAGGGUGCGAGCGUUGUCCGGAAUUAUUGGGCGUAAAGAGCUUGUAGGCGGUUUGUCGCGUCGAUAGUGUAAACACGCAGCUUAACUGUGUGCCUGCUGUCGAUACGGGCUGACUAGAGGAGGGUAGGGGAGAAUGGAAUUCCCGGUGGAGCGGUGGAAUGCGCAGAUAUCGGGAGGAACACCAGUGGCGAAGGGGGUUCUCUGGACCUUUCCUGACGCUGAGAAGCGAAAGCGUGGGUAGCAAACAGG
rnacentral:rRNA from 1 species